rnacentral:tmRNA from 1 species
CGGGUUUGAAAAUGCGCCCGCGGGGCCUAUAUCGGCAUCGUCGGGUUCUACCCGGCUAUGGCGAUAAACUGCGGCGUAGACUAGGCGCAGCGGACCCGGGGGCAGUACCCGGCGGCUCCACCAAAACCGGCGCACGCGCCGGUUUCGACGGGGCCGAACCAGGAUCGACGUGUGUUGAAAGGCGCUGUUUUCGCUCGGAAUGGGACCACCGUAACGGCCCAUUACACAAGUGCCAACGAUAACGAAGCACUCGCGAUUGCGGCGUAACUGAGGGCCUCACGGCCUAAGGUUACUCCAAGAUAGCGCGGUCGGACCGAACCGGGCAACAGAAUCGGAAUCCAGCGGUACGGGGGGCACCGGGCAACAGAAGCCCCCCACU